rnacentral:rRNA from 2 species
CGAACUGGUGAGUAACACGUGGGUAACCUGCCCAGAAGAAGGGGAUAACACCUGGAAACAGAUGCUAAUACCGUAUAACAACAAGAACCACAUGGUUCUUGUUUGAAAGCUGGCCUUUGUGCUAGUGCUUCUGGAUGGACCCGCGGCGUAUUAGCUAGUUGGUGAGAUAAUAGCUCACCAAGGCAAUGAUACGUAGCAGACCUGAGAGGGUAAUCUGCCACAAUGGGACUGAGACACGGCCCAUACUCCUACGGGAGGCAGCAGUAGGGAAUCUUCCACAAUGGACGAAAGUCUGAUGGAGCAACGCCGCGUGAGUGAAGAAGGGUUUCGGCUCGUAAAACUCUGUUGUUAGAGAAGAACAGCCGUGAGAGCAACUGCUCACGGUAUGACGGUAUCUAACCAGAAAGUCACGGCUAACUACGUGCCAGCAGCCGCGGUAAUACGUAGGUGGCAAACGUUGUCCGGAUUUAUUGGGCGUAAAGGGAGCGCAGGCGGUUUAUUAAGUCUGAUGUGAAAGCCUUCGGCUUAACCGGAGAAGUGCAUCGGAAACUGAUAAACUUGAGUGCAGAAAAGGAUAGUGGAACUUCAUGUGUAGCGGUGAAAUGCGUAGAUAUAUGAAGGAACACCAGUGGCGAAGGCGGCUAUCUGGUCUGUAACUGACGCUGAGGCUCGAAAGCAUGGGUAGCAAACAGGAUUAGAUACCCUGGUAGUCCAUGCCGUAAACGAUGAAUGCUAGGUGUUGGAAGGU